GCCCAAGUCACGUGACACAGAUUCCAUUCGCAACGCGUGUUUCCUCGAGCAGCGUCCGUCAACUCGAGCUCUGGCCGUACGGAGGUGAACAUGGCCGAGGUGUCGGAGAGGACGGAGAGGUCGCUUUAGUCGUUUCGUUUGCGGCUGGUUUCAUCGCCGGUUGGCAGGCAAACAGAAUGCGAAGAAGGUUCUUGGACUGGCGGAAAAAGAGGUUACAAGACAAGCUCGCAGAAACACAGAAGAAGCUAGACCUGUCAUGACAUAUCACGAAGUCGACCUGUGCCUCAGUCAUCGGUCAAUACUAACGUAGUAUUCCUGACUUCACAAACAGAACGAGGAGUCUAUCAGCACCUCUCCAGCUCUCAGCAGGAUCGGGCUUUCAACCUUGGAUCAAAGACACAAUCUUCAGGCUGGAGUAAUGCAAUACAACUUUCCCAAAGACUGUACACACAGCAGAAUGUUGAAUUCUAUAAAAAUCCGUCUGUGCUUUUCCUUUUCUCUGUCAUUUAUAAUAAAUUGAAAUAUUUUAUUAA